rnacentral:rRNA from 1 species
GACAGAGGUGGCAAGCGUUGUUCGGAUUUACUGGGCUUAAAGGGCGUGUAGGCGUCCUGAUAAGUCAGAUGUGGAAGCCUUGGGCUUAACCCAAGAAUUGCAUUUGAAACUGUCAGGAUUGAGUCGUGCAUGGGAGGGCGGAAUUCCUGGUGUAGCGGUGAAAUGCGUAGAUAUCAGGAGGAAGGCCGGUGGUGAAGAUGGCCCUCUGGGCAAUGACUGACGCUGAGGCGCGAAAGCGUGGGUAGCAAAC